ensembl:lncRNA LINC00964 long intergenic non-protein coding RNA 964
GUUCCUCAGUUCAUCGCAACACUCAGCCUGUCAGUCAGGUUGUGGGAUCCCUCCUAUCCAGGAACUGUAUGCUGUUGUCCCGGUUCUGACACUUUCCCUCUGAGUCCUUGGACACCUUACCUAACCUCUUGGAAGCUCCUGUCUGUGAAGGGUGUGCACAGAGAGCUUCGGUAGCCUGCGAAGCAGCCAUUUUCACUUCCACGGAGCAGAUGCUGGCCUGGGUGCUGGAAUAUGGAAAUGAGGAAGAUCCUGCCUGAGGAUUUCAUGACAGUGCUGCGAUUACCGACGUGAGCCACUGUGCCCAGCCUCACUUUAAAAAAAAAAAAAGGUUAUGAAGCAUCUCAACACAAGACCUCCUUUGCUCAUCACAACCACCCAGUGAAGCAGGCAAGACAACAGAAACUCCCCACCUGUGAUAGAUGUGAGGCCUGAAGUCUCCCACAUACCCACGGCAGAUGCAACGCACAGCGGUGACCAAUGGUAGGGAUAACAAGUAUUGCUUCCGCCCAUUCAGUACUUCUUGCAUGCCAGAUCUGUGCUAAGUGCUAGAUGAACACAGUCUCUUUUCAUUCUCAUAGCUCUUUAAAACAGGUAUUGUUUUCUUUUAAAACAAAUUGUUUUGUUAAAUAUAAAUAUCAUGUACCUUAUAUAUAUAUUAUAUAUAAAAAUACAUGUAAUUUACCAUUUUAACCAUUUCAAAAUGUCCAGUUCAGGAGCAUUAAGUACAGUCACAUUGUUGUGCUACUGUCACUACACCAUCCACAGAAUUCUUCCUCUUUCCAAACUGAAAUUCUACGCACUUUAAACAAUAACGCCCUAUUCCCCCCUCCCUCCAGUCUCUGGCACCCACCAUUUUGCUUUCUGUCUUUGUGAAGUUGACCACUCCAGCUAUAUCAUAUAGUAUUUGUCUUUUUGUGACUGCUUUAUUUCAAUUAGCAUAAUAUCCUCAAGGUUCUUCUAUGUUGUAGCAUAUACUGGAAUUUCCUUGUGUGUGUGUGUAUGAACCUCUAUAAAGGAUCCUUCCUUUUUAAGGUUGAACAAUAUUCCAUGUAUGUAUAUAUCCAGUUUUGCUUAUCUGUUCAUCUGUCAAUGAACACUUGGAUUGUUGCCACAUUUUAGUUAUUGGGAAUAAUUUUGGCUAUUGUGAAUAAUCUGUACACAUGAGUGUACAGAUAUUUCUUUGAUAAAAUAGGUAAAUAAAAUUGCUUUAUAAAGAAAAGCAA